AACUGAACGCGUGUGACAGUUUCCCGUGUCGUAAUGGCGGAGCUUGCAUCAACUUGAUCUCGGAUUUCAGAUGCAUUUGCUUAGCAAAUUACGGAGGAACCACGUGCGAAGAAGUUCUGAAUCCGUGUAACAGCAACCCUUGCCAAAACGGAGGCCAGUGUGUCAACCAACAAAACACAUUCUUCCAGUGUGUAUGCGGUCAAGGAUAUACGGGUACAUUUUGUGAAAUCAAGAUCAACUACUGCUCCAGUAAUCCUUGCUACAACGGUGGUACGUGUAAUAACCUCCCAACGAGUUAUCGAUGUGAUUGUUUGCAAGGUUAUUCCGGUUUCAACUGCUUCACAGAGAUUAACGAAUGCGCAAGUUUUCCGUGUCAAAAUGACGGGUUAUGUCUAGAUCGCAUUGGUUACUAUACUUGCCAAUGCGCCACCAACUAUCAAGGGACC